rnacentral:tRNA from 1 species
GCUGUUCUAGCUCAGUUGGUAAAACAUAUGGCUCUUAACCUUGUGGUUGUGGGUUCAAACCCCAUGGUGGGUA